UUGACCUCAAAUCAGGUGGGACUACCCGCUGAACUUAAGCAUAUCAAUAAGCGGAGGAAAAGAAACUAACAAGGAUUCCCCUAGUAACUGCGAGUGAAGUGGGAAAAGCUCAAAUUUAAAAUCUGGCAGUAUUUUGCUGUCCGAAUUGUAAUCUAGAGAAGUGUUUUCUGUGCUGAACCGUGUACAAGUCCCCUGGAAUGGGGCUGUCAUAGAGGGUGAGAAUCCCGUCUUUGACACGGACUCCCAGUGCUCUGUGAUACACUCUCAAAGAGUCGAGUUGUUUGGGAAUGCAGCUCAAAAUGGGUGGUGAACUCCAUCUAAAGCUAAAUAUUGGCGAGAGACCGAUAGCGAACAAGUACCGUGAGGGAAAGAUGAAAAGCACUUUGGAAAGAGAGUGAAACAGUACGUGAAAUUGCUGAAAGGGAAACGCUUAAAGUCAGUCUUGUUUGCUAGGAUUCAGCCCCUCUCUGGGUGUACUUUCUAGUAAACAGGCCAACAUCACUUUUGGUCAUUGGAAAAGGGUAGUGGGAAUGUGGCACCCUUUCGGGGGUGUGUUAUAGCCUGCUAUCAUAUACAGUGACUGGGAGUGAGGACUGCCAUUGUAGGAUGUUGGCAUAAUGGCUUUAAACGACCCGUCUUGAAACACGGACCAAGGAGUCUAACAUGCCUGCAAGUGUUUGGGUGGUCAAACCCAUGCGCGUAAUGAAAGUAAAAGUUUGGGAAGGUUGUCAAAGGCCUGCACCGACACCCGGACCUGAGAUUUAUCGAUGGUUCUGCGGUAGAGCAUGUAUGUUAGGACCCGAAAGAUGGUGAACUAUGCCUGAUAGGGUGAAGCCAGAGGAAACUUCUGGUGGAGGCUCGUAGC
rnacentral:rRNA from 1 species